GACAGCAGCCGCCGCGGUAAUACGAAGGGGGCUAGCGUUGCUCGGAAUGACUGGGCGUAAAGGGCGCGUAGGCGGCGAUCAAAGUCAGGCGUGAAAUUCCUGGGCUCAACCUGGGGGCUGCGUUUGAUACUUGAUUGCUAGAGUGGGGAAGAGGGUCGUGGAAUUCCCAGUGUAGAGGUGAAAUUCGUAGAUAUUGGGAAGAACACCGGUGGCGAAGGCGGCGACCUGGUCCUUGACUGACGCUGAGGCGCGAAAGCGUGGGUAGCAAACAGGAUUAGAUACCCCAGUAGUCCCUGUCUCUUAUAC
rnacentral:rRNA from 1 species